ACUGGGCGUAAAGAGCUCGUAGGUGGUUUGUCGCGUUGUUCGUGAAAUCUCACGGCUUAACUGUGAGCGUGCGGGCGAUACGGGCAGACUAGAGUACUGCAGGGGAGACUGGAAUUCCUGGUGUAGCGGUGGAAUGCGCAGAUAUCAGGAGGAACACCGGUGGCGAAGGCGGGUCUCUGGGCAGUAACUGACGCUGAGGAGCGAAAGCGUGGGGAGCGAACAGGAUUAGAUACCCUGGUAGUCCACGCCGUAAACGGUGGGUACUAGGUGUGGGUUUCCUUCCUUGGGAUCCGUGCCGUAGCUAACGCAUUAAGUACCCCGCCUGGGGAGUACGGCCGCAAGGCUAAACUCAAAGGAAUUGACGGGGGCCCGCACAAGCGGCGGAGGCCCCAAAACUGUGGAUUAAUUCGAUGCAACGCGAAGAACCUUACCUGGGUUUGACAUGCACAGGACGCGUCUAGAGAUAGGCGUUCCCUUGUGGCCUGUGUGCAGGUGGUGCAUGGCUGUCGUCAGCUCGUGUCGUGAGAUGUUGGGUUAAGUCCCGCAACGAGCGCAACCCUUGUCUCAUGUUGCCAGCGGGUAAUGCCGGGGACUCGUGAGAGACUGCCGGGGUCAACUCGGAGGAAGGUGGGGAUGACGUCAAGUCAUCAUGCCCCUUAUGUCCAGGGCUUCACACAUGCUACAAUGGCCGGUACAAAGGGCUGCGAUGCCGUAAGGUUAAGCGAAUCCUUUUAAAGCCGGUCUCAGUUCGGAUUGGGGUCUGCAACUCGACCCCAUGAAGUCGGAGUCGCUAGUAAUCGCAGAUCAGCAACGC
rnacentral:rRNA from 1 species